rnacentral:rRNA from 1 species
UAUUAGUCAAUGCUCGCAAGAGUGAACUAGCUAACUGAAAUCCUUGGUGUGUCAUCGAGGAUAACGUAAGGGAAAAUAAUGAUACCACCUUACUAUUAGUGUCGUCCAAAUGCUCGUGCCAGAAGACUCGGUAAGGCGAGAGACGCAAACGUUAUUCGUCUUGAUCAGGCGUAAAGGGUUUGUAGGCGGCUUUAAGUAUCCAAUUUUAAGUUUACUAUUAUAAUGCUAUAAGUGUUAUAAUAUUUAUUAAAGGGUCAAUUAAAGCUAGAAUCUAACAGAGGUUAAAACAAUACUUAAGGUAGGUGUACUAACCAUAAAUAAUAAGCAGAGUGUUAAGGGCGAAGGCAUUUAUCCACUGAAGAUUGACGCUGAGAAACGAAGGUGAGGACAGAAAAAAGGAUUAGAGACCCUUGUAUCCCUCACUGUCAACGAUGAAUGGUAGUUACUAGGGAGAAAUAACCUAGAGACGAUGUUAACACGAAAACCAUUCCGCCUUGUGAGUACGACUGCAAAGUUGAAAACAAAAAAAUUAGUCGGUUUCGGAGCAAACGAAGUGAAGCAUGUUAUUUAA